rnacentral:tRNA from 2 species
GAGAGAUGCCCGAGUGGUUAAAGGGGACGGACUGUAAAUCCGUUGGCUCAGCCUACGUUGGUUCAAAUCCAACUCUCUCC